rnacentral:lncRNA from 1 species
AAAAAAUCAAAAAUUAUACAAAAAAGAAGAUGUGGUAUGAUUGCCAAUGAGACAACUAUCCACAAAAGACCAAAAUGACACAAACAUUAACAAUUAUAGGUCACCGUACGACCUUCAACAAUGAGCAAAGCCCAUACCGCAUAUAGUCAGCUAUAAAAGGCCCCAAUAAGACAAUGUAAAACAAUUCAAACGAGAAAACUAACUUAUAUA